rnacentral:lncRNA from 1 species
CAGCCGCAGCAGCCUCAGGUGCAUCUUCAAACGGAAACGAUAACAACGGAGGAAACAAUGGUAACAAUGGAUCAUCAAGCGCAGCAGCAUCAGGUGCAUCUGCAAACGGAAACAAUAACAACGGAGGAAACAAUGGGAACGGUUCUGGAUCAAAUGCCGCAGCAUCAGGUGGAGCUUCAAAUGGCAGUGGUAACAAAGUGAACAAUACAGGAACAAGUGCUGGUGCAGCAACAGGAUCCAAUAUUAAUAAAGGAAAUGGACAAAAUAAUCGCGGCAGUGCAAGUGCAAGUGGAGCGGCAACAUCAUCAGCAGCAGGUUCAGGUGGAGCCGGCAAUGGCAACGGCAAGAAAAGUGGUAAACAAGGAAAUAGUCAAGGUAGCUCGGCAGCAUCUUCAGCCGCAGCAAGCUCAGCAUCAGGAAAUGGCACAAAACCUGGUAAAAGUCCAGUUAAGCAAGGAAUUAUCCCAGCCAUGAUGUCUAAAAUUCCUAUGAAAGUUUCUUUGAUGUUCUAAAUUUGUGAUGAAUUAUGCUUGUAUUUGUAUUGCAUUACGCUUAU